rnacentral:tRNA from 2 species
GAGACUUUAGUUUAAAGGUAAAACAUGCGACUUUUAAUCGUUAUAAUAUGGGUUCAAGUCCCAUAGGUCUUA